rnacentral:rRNA from 1 species
GAAACGACUGCUAAGACUGGAUAGGAGAUAAGAAGGCAUCUUCUUAUUUUUAAAAGACCUAGCAAUAGGUAUGCUUAGGGAAGAGCUUGCGUCACAUUAGUUAGUUGGUGGGGUAAUGGCCUACCAAGACGAUGAUGUGUAGCCGGGCUGAGAGGUCGAACGGCCACAUUGGGACUGAGACACGGCCCAAACUCCUACGGGAGGCAGCAGUAAGGAAUUUUCGGCAAUGGAGGAAACUCUGACCGAGCAAUGCCGCGUGAACGAUGAAGUAUUUUGGUACGUAAAGUUCUUUUAUUAGGGAAGAAAAGAUGGUGGAAAAACCAUUAUGACGGUACCUAAUGAAUAAGCCCCGGCUAACUAUGUGCCAGCAGCCGCGGUAAUACAUAGGGGGCAAGCGUUAUCCGGAAUUAUUGGGCGUAAAGGGUGCGUAGGCGGUUAAAUAAGUUUAUGGUCUAAGUGCAACGCUCAACGUUGUGAUGCUAUAAAAACUGUUUAGCUAGAGUUGGAUAGAGGCAAGUGGAAUUCCGUGUGUAGUGGUAAAAUGCGUAAAUAUACGGAGGAACACCAGAAGCGAAGGCGGCUUGCUGGGUCUUAACUGACGCUGAGGCACGAAAGCGUGGGGAGCAAACAGGAUUAGAUACCCUGGUAGUCCACGCCCUAAACGAUGAGUACUAAACGUUGGAUAAAACCAGUGUUGAAGUUAACACAUUAAGUACUCCGCCUGAGUAGUACGUACGCAAGUAUGAAACUUAAAGGAAUUGACGGGACUCCGCACAAGCGGUGGAUCAUGUUGUUUAAUUCGAAGGUACCCGAAAAACCUCACCAGGUCUUGACAUGCUUUUGCAAAGCUGUAGAAAUACAGUGGAGGUUAUCAGAAGCACAGGUGGUGCAUGGUUGUCGUCAGCUCGUGUCGUGAGAUGUUGGGUUAAGUCCCGCAACGAGCGCAACCCUUGUUGUUAAUUGCCAUCAUUAAGUUGGGGACUUUAGCAAGACUGCCAAUGAUAAAUUGGAGGAAGGUGGGGACGACGUCAAAUCAUCAUGCCCCUUAUGACCUGGGCUACAAACGUGAUACAAUGGCUGUUACAAAGGGUAGCUAAAGCGUAAGCUUCUGGCGAAUCUCAAAAAAGCAGUCUCAGUUCGGAUUGAAGUCUGCAACUCGACUUCAUGAAGUUGGAAUCGCUAGUAAUCGCGAAUCGCAUGUCGCGGUGAAUACGUUCUCGGGGUUUGUACACACCGCCCGUCA